rnacentral:rRNA from 1 species
UACGGAGGUGGCGAGCGUUGCUCGGAUUCACUGGGUGUAAAGGGCAAGUAGGCGGUCCGGUAAGUCGGGUGUGAAAUCCCACGGCUCAACCGUGGAACUGCGCCCGAGACUGCGGGACUUGAGGACAGGAGAGGUGAACGGAAUUCCCGGUGUAAGGGUGAAAUCUGUAGAUAUCGGGAGGAACACCAGUGGCGAAGGCGGUUCACUGGCCUGUCCCUGACGCUGAGAGGCGAAAGCUAGGGGAG